GUUAUAUACAGGAGGCACCUAAUGAGGUUGUAUACAGGGGACACCUAAUGAGGUUAUAUACAGGGGGUACCUAAUGAGGUUAUAUACAGGAGGCACCUAAUGAGGUUAUAUACACGGGGCACCUAAUGAGGUUAUAUACAGGGGGUACCUAAUGAGGUUAUAUACAGGAGGCACCUAAUGAGGUUAUAUACAGGAGGCACCUAAUGAGGUUAUAUACAGGGGGCACCUAAUGAGGUUAUAUACAGGGGGCACCUAAUGAGGUUAUAUACAGGGGGCACCUAAUGAGGUUAUAUACAGGAGGUAACUAAUGAGGUUAUAUACAGGAGGUAACUAAUGAGGUUAUAUACAGGGGAUACCUAAUGAGGUUAUAUACAGGGGUACCUAAUGAGGUUAUAUACAGGAGGCACCUAAUGAGGUUGUAUACAGGGGACACCUAAUGAGGUUAUAUACAGGGGGUACCUAAUGAGGUUA
rnacentral:lncRNA from 1 species